rnacentral:rRNA from 1 species
GUUACAGCCGCCGCGGUAAUACGUAGGGUGCGAGCGUUGUCCGGAAUUACUGGGCGUAAAGAGCUCGUAGGCGGUUUGUCGCGUCGUCUGUGAAAACCAGCAGCUCAACUGCUGGCUUGCAGGCGAUACGGGCAGACUUGAGUACUGCAGGGGAGACUGGAAUUCCUGGUGUAGCGGUGAAAUGCGCAGAUAUCAGGAGGAACACCGGUGGCGAAGGCGGGUCUCUGGGCAGUAACUGACGCUGAGGAGCGAAAGCGUGGGUAGCGAACAGGAUUAGAAACCCGCGUAGUCC